GGGCCGUUAGCUCAAUUGGCAGAGCAACUGACUCUUAAUCAGUAGGUUGAAGGUUCGAUUCCUUCACGGCUCACCA
rnacentral:tRNA from 4 species